rnacentral:rRNA from 1 species
UACGGGGGGGGCAAGCGUUGUUCGGAAUUACUGGGCGUAAAGGGCUCGUAGGCGGCCAACUAAGUCAGACGUGAAAUCCCCAGGCUUAACCUGGGAACUGCGUCUGAUACUGGAUGGCUUGAAUUCGGGAGAGGGAUGCAGAAUUCCAGGUGUAGCGGUGAAAUGCGUAGAUAUCUGGAGGAAUACCGGUGGCGAAGGCGGCAUCCUGGACCGACAUUGACGCUGAGGAGCGAAAGCGUGGGGAGCGAACAGG